rnacentral:ncRNA from 1 species
CGGCAUCCCCAUUACCUAUGGACACGGUGCCGAAAGCUUCCGGCCGAUCGGUUCAGGAAUGCUUGUAUUCAGGGUUUUCCGUGUCCAC